GACGGACGCUGGCGGCGUGCCUAAUACAUGCAAGUAGAACGCACAGUUUAUACCGUAGCUUGCUACACCAUAGACUGUGAGUUGCGAACGGGUGAGUAACGCGUAGGUAACCUGCCUGGUAGCGGGGGAUAACUAUUGGAAACGAUAGCUAAUACCGCAUAAUAUUAAUUAUUGCAUGAUAAUUAAUUGAAAGGUGCAAUUGCACCACUACCAGAUGGACCUGCGUUGUAUUAGCUAGUAGGUGAGGUAACGGCUCACCUAGGCGACGAUACAUAGCCGACCUGAGAGGGUGAUCGGCCACACUGGGACUGAGACACGGCCCAGACUCCUACGGGAGGCAGCAGUAGGGAAUCUUCGGCAAUGGAUGAAAGUCUGACCGAGCAACGCCGCGUGAGUGAAGAAGGUUUUCGGAUCGUAAAGCUCUGUUGUAAGAGAAGAACGGGUGUGAGAGUGGAAAGUUCACACUGUGACGGUAUCUUACCAGAAAGGGACGGCUAACUACGUG
rnacentral:rRNA from 1 species